GUUUUCCUUGUCAUGACUCAUAUGGAAAGAAGUUUCGAAGACAUCUAAUGUAAGGUUACGUGUACAAAAUAGUACAAAUAUUUUAGUCUCCCCUAAUCGAAUAUUUAAUGUAAUCAACCUAACUGGCCAACUCUUAUAAUUAUUGACUAAUACAAAAACGAAAGUGAAGAGUCGUCAUUCAUUAAACGAACAAAAAACAUGCAUAACGUGUCUAGCGAGACCGGUCGAAUUUGCGAUGUGUUAGGUUCGUGCCGGUGAUCUCUUCUUACAAGUUUCGUUUCUUUGGGUAUGACCGUCACGUGGCGGUACUAGUGGUAGGUCUGUUUCAUGACAGCUUCAAACUGCAACGUGUCGUAGUAUAGUUCGAUUGUCGUGCUUUAUAGCU